AUGUGUUGCUGUGAUGGUUGGCCUGGAUCCUACUGGGAGUCUAAACUAUGUUCCAGUCCACUGCUAGAGGAUGAAGGGCUUUAUUGGUUUGAACCUUUCCCCUCCCCUCCUCCCUGCUCUUUCCUCCCGGUCCACUCCUCUCCUCUCUAUGCUCUUAUCCUCUCCUUCCUGUCCCCUCACCUCUAUUCUCUUAUCCUCUCCUUCCUGUCCCCUCUCCUCUAUUCUCUUAUCCUCCCCUUCCUGUCCCCUCUCCUCUCUAUCCUCUCCUUCCUGUCCCUUCUCCUUCCUGUCCCUUCUCCUCUAUUCUCUUAUCCUCCCCUUCCUGUCCCCUCUCCUCUAUUCUCUUAUCCUCUCCUUCCUGUCCCCUCUCCUCUAUUCUCUUAUCCUCUCCUCCCUUGUCCUCUCCUCUAUUCUCUUAUCCUCCCCUUCCUGUCCCCUCUCCUCUCUUAUCCUCUCCUUCCUGUCCCUUCUCCUUCCUGUCCCUUCUCCUCUAUUCUCUUAUCCUCCCCUUCCUGUCCCCUCUCCUCUAUUCUCUUAUCCUCCCCUUCCUGUCCCCUCUCCUCUCUUAUCCUCUCCUUCCUGUCCCUUCUCCUUCCUGUCCCUUCUCCUCUAUUCUCUUAUCCUCCCCUUCCUGUCCCCUCUCCUCUAUUCUCUUAUCCUCUUCUCCCUUGUCCCCUCUCCUCUAUUCUCUUAUCCUCUCCUUCCUGUCCCUCUCCUCUAUUCUCUUAUCCUCUCCUUCCUGUCCCCUCUCCUCUAUUCUCUUAUCCUCCCCUCCCUUGUCCCCUCUCCUCUAUUCUUUUAACCCUCUCCUCCCUUGUCCCCUCUCCUCUAUUCUCUUAUCCUCUCAUCCCUUGUCCCUUCUCCUCUAUUCUCUUAUCCUCUCAUCCCUUGUCCCUUCUCCUCUAUUCUCUUAUCCUCUCCUUUCUGUCCCCUCUAUUAUCUUAUCCUCUCCUCCCUUGUCCCCUCUCCUCUCCUCCCUUGUCCCCUCUCCUCUAUUCUCUUAUCCUCUCCUUCCGGUCCCCUCUCCUCUAG
rnacentral:lncRNA from 1 species